rnacentral:rRNA from 1 species
UACGUAGGGCGCAAGCGUUGUCCGGAAUUAUUGGGCGUAAAGAGCUCGUAGGCGGUUUGUCGCGUCUGCUGUGAAAUCCCCAGGCUCAACCUGGGGCGUGCAGUGGGUACGGGCAGACUAGAGUGCGGUAGGGGAGACUGGAAUUCCUGGUGUAGCGGUGGAAUGCGCAGAUAUCAGGAGGAACACCGAUGGCGAAGGCAGGUCUCUGGGCCGUAACUGACGCUGAGGAGCGAAAGCAUGGGGAGCGAACAGG